ensembl:lncRNA
CUGAUUGGGGAGGGUCUAAGGAACAUUCUGACCAAAUUUGGUCAGUUCUGCCAACGCUCUAGUGCCACCACCGGGUCAGAUUUUGGCCUAAUUUGAAAGUACUUUUAUGGUCCUAUCUUCUGAACUGUGUGUCCAAAAUUGAAAAGACUAGAUUCCCUGGGUCGAGACGAGUUAAACGCAUCAUAUCAUGUCAAUUUUCAGCCAUCUUGGAUUUUUUUUAAAUGUUUUUUUUUUUUUUUUGCUACUCCUCCUAUACAUUUUGUCUAAUCAUUGCAAAUUUGACAGACGUCAUCUUCAGAGUAAGCCUCACAAACAUAUCGAAAUAAUUUUUAAUAGUCCAAACGGUUUGCCUGUAAUGGGCCAAUGAAUCUGACAGUUAAGUUGCCAAACAGGAAGUGAGGCUGCAUCUCAAACUUUGUAGGCAUCUACCAACAGUGCCACCUAUAAGUCAAAAGCUACAAUAACAGUAGAUUCGUCCAAUUAGUUUUCUAUAUAAUUUUUUUUUUUUCUGGAAUAUUCCUUAAACAUCAUCCAACAAAACGAAAAAGCCUAAGACAUACCUUCUCAUAACUUGCAGAUUUUUCAUUUUGCUGAGUGUGGAAGAGCUGAAUGCCAUUCCAUCCGUUUUCAUCUGAACACUUGACUAUUAAAAAAGCGGUGCAACAUUUAUAGCAAUACAUCAACAAGAGUAAACAUGGCUCGUUAAUGAACAGCACAAUCAUCUCAAGAAUUAGAUCUGACUUAAUGCACUUCUUUUGUCCCUUGAGAAUACUAAUGAGUUGAAAGUCAUUAUUGCAUUUGACAAAUGAUUACAUCUUUUAUUCAUAAAGCUCGAUCCAGACAGCAUAUGCACUUGGCUUUAAGGCACACGAACGACUAACAUCUCAAACGAACACAACAACAAAAAUGCUUGUUAUAAAAUUUUAUUUGGAAUAAAACCAUAUUACAUGUAGUGUGGUCAGCCUACACAAUCUACCUCAGAUAAGAACACCACAGCUCGGUGGACGUGAAACAGCACAAAAAAAAUUAACAUCGGGACCUGGACUUACGAGAUGCUGACCUGAGAUCAGUCCUUUUAUCGAUGGAGGAGACAAACCUGGUCUCAGAUCAGCACUCGGAGAUAUCUGGCGCGUCCAAAACCCCGCAGUCGGGGACACAUCGGACAGGUCAUAGUAGUGUUAAUGCUUCACUGGGAAAAGCACAAACUACACCAUGUAGAAAAAAUUAAAAAGCUAUGAAAAAAAUUCACAGACCAACCACAGAAUUUUAUGUUUACCUUUUCUUUUCUUUUCUUUUUUAAAUCGUUGACUUUUCAUUUUCAGCCUUAUCUGUCAAUCUUGAUCUUCAUCCCUGAUCUUAUUAAAUAAGUGAUCUCAAGGAACGUUAUUUAAAAUAUAGCAUUUGUGGCUUUAGGUUUCUGUUUGUGGUUUUGCGAAAGAAAAAUAAUGACAAAAAAAACAAAAAAACAACACAAAUCUCGCAAAUGAACGCUGUUAAGUCUGAGGUAGCAAGGCAAUCAUGGCUUUCUUCUGAUUUGAUUUGACUUUAGAAAACUAUUCGACUCAAAGAGGAAAAAAAUAAUAAUAAAAUUUUGUCGAAUCUGAAUUUAGAGCUCUCUAUAUUUCCGUCUCGUAAAUCCUCUCCUUGGAAUGGAUGCUGUAUAGGCACACAGGGCUAAAACAUCUCGGCAUUCCUGAACAUGUACAGUAUUUACACAAGGGGGGCGGGGUAUGGUUUCGAACAGGAACUUGUUUUCCACAACAGUAAAUGUAAUUAUAAGCGGAUAAAAAGUACGAGGUGUCACUCUUUAAUAAAAUUAUUAUUAUUAUUAUUAUUUUUUAAAAAGGUUAACGUUGGCAAAUUGCUGUGGCGUCGGAAGAGCAACGGAGCACUCAGCACGUACCGUUAUCGGAAUGAUUUUUUUUUUCCAAGAACAGCCAACCAGUUCGCGGGUGACGGCACGGAUUACGCUGUAAACACGAGAAACACAGCAGAGGGAUGCAUUCUGGGAAGAAACAUGCAUUUAUCAGUAUGAGGUGAUUCAUUAAGGGGCAAAACACGAGUGGUCUUCAUUCCCAGCUACAACAUUUGUUUUUUGUUUUUUUUUAUAAAUAUCUGAGAAACGUGAAGGAGGUAAACGGAGGUUCCCGGAGCGCGUGCACAAAAAUAGAAAUAAAAGCUGAACAGGUUAUACGUUACGAAGCCCCCGUUAGCCGAAAUAUCAUCGUGUUGUUCGUACAAAUCCCAAGCAAAAACCCAAAUCAGGUUCGAUCUACAUGUUCACAGAAUUUACAAUUGCAUAGUACAGACAGACGGGUUGAUGGACGUGGUGGUCGGGAAUUCGUGGUGGAAUUGUGGCUGGAUCGAGGACGAUGCAAGGAACUCCGGGUUGGCCAUCUUCGUCUGGGAGAGCGGGGACUUCGCCACAUCACGCACCGCGUCAUCGACGCUUCUUACUUCGACGUCAUUAGCAGCCCUCACAUCGCCUAAAUACACACACACACACAAUCAGCUAAUAAAACUUCUGGGUUUUAGAAUGAUAACAGAAAUGACAAUUAUGGCUACGUCCACAUUAAUCCGAAAACCGCAUUUCUUUUUCAAACGCUCUCCGUCUGCAUUGGCGUCUUCAACGGUUUCCCAAAAAUUCCUCGUCCACACUAAAACGUCAGAAAACGCGCACAUCCCUAUACUGUGCGUGCAUGCGUAAAUACGUAAGCAGCUCCGGUCUGCGUCAUUUCUGUCAGGUGUUUAUUUAAAAAUGCAAUCUUUAAUGACGUUAACGACGCUGGUACAACAACUGUAAUCAAACAUCAGCCACCAUCUUGGUUGUUUCGAGUUGAAUUGGUCACAUGACUGCGUCACAUGACAUAAAAGAAAAAAUAUGGUCAUCGUUUUAGAUUAUCUCAGUUUUCGAAUGAACGUUUUGGGCAGAACGCCAAAAUGUCGAGAAAAACACUCGUUUUCAAAUGUAUUAAACGGAUGAACGUGGACGUAGCCUUAGUAAAACAUGAGAAUUUUGUGGCCCAAAUUCAAGAAAUGUGAUAGAAGUGUAAACAUCAGCUGUUUUAAGAAAUUCCCCAAACGCUGCUAUCGUUUCUUGAUGGUUGUUAUUUCCGGACGUUCGUACAAAGCGGUGUUGAUGCGUCCUGUGAACAAACUUGCCAGAAGUUUUAAAAUUUGAUCACAAUUAGCAUGUUACACCGACUGCUAGCAUGAGACGGAAGAUUUUCUUUUCUUCCUCGUGGAUUACUAGCCACAUGUAGCAUGGAAAGGUUGGGAAUAAAAACAGACACAAUGCAGAUGAGCAACCCCUUGUGGUCAAAGUUGGAAUGCCAUGCUAAUUAAAUUACCAUUUUAAAAAAAUGGAGGAAAUUCUCUUUUUUCCUAUUAGUUUGUUCAUUUAUUUAUUUUAUUACUUGAUUCAUUUAUUUAAUUAUUGUUAUUUAUUUUUAUGUAGCCCUCCACCACCACUCUGCUGCUCCCACAGCACUAAACUGAAAACUAAUUAGUCUUUAAAAUGCAAUCCAGUGCAGGUGAUAAAGGAGAAGUCUGCUUCACACACUCUUUUACACAGAGUUCUGGGGAAAGCGGUGCUUUAACUGGCGGCGUAUGUCUUUGUUUUCUCCUUUACACACUGCCGUGAUGAAAGCGGCACUUUAAAAGCUUUAAUGAAUGAUUGUUUAAUGGAAGGAAGAUAAACCAGGGCAUGAGCGAGGAAAAAAAAAAAAAAAAAAAAAAAAAAAAAAAGCACAGACGCCCAUUUGAACACUCUCACACACUCAGGACGGUUCUGCAGGAUCACACUGACUCGAGCAGACAGGUUUAAUUAAAUAUCUGCUCAGCAGUGAGAGACUGCGGGACUGAGCACCCUCCGUCGUUGUACAAUUAACCAUUACUGACUGUGUGAGGGGAGAGAGAGAGAGCGCGCGAGAGAGAGUGUAAGAGACAGAGAGAGAGCGCGCGAGAGAGAGUGUAAGAGACAGAGAGAGAGCGCGCGAGAGAGAGUGUAAGAGACAGAGAGAGACAAUUAAAAGAAAGACACAAAGAAAGAGAGAGACAGCAAGAGAGACAGAGAGAGAAAAAAGACGAGUGAGACAGAGAGAGAGAGAGAAGUGAGAAUGAGAGAUGGAGACAGAGAGAGAGAGUGAGAGAGAAGUGAGAAUGAGAGUCAGGAGAGAGAGAGACAGAGAGGUGAGAAUAAGACAGACAAGGAGAGAGAGAGAGAGAGAGAGAGAGAGAGAGAGAGAGAGAGAGAGAGAGAGAGAGCAAGAGAGACAGAGAAAGAGAGAGAGCGAGAGUGAGAAUAAGACAGACAAGAAGAGAGACAGAGACAGAGACAGAGAGAGAGAGAGAGAGAGAGAGAGAGAGAGAGAGAGAGAGAGAGUGUACCUGCAGUGGGCAGUACUGACCAGUCUCUUCCAUGGGAAGUUGGCAAGGUUUGCUCAAAAUGUCGACAGAUUUGUCGCUAGCUGCUUUUUGAAAGUAAAAAAAAAAGUCGUUAAAGGGGUCUGGGAAGUGGACCAGCGCGGUCUCUGUCACAGUGUGUGUGUGUGUGUGUGUGUGUGUGUGUGUGUGUGUGUGUGUGUGUGUGUGUGUGUGAAGUGGGGUGUCAUAUUUUCAGUGAAAGGAUGUAUUCAUAAACACUUUUUUUUGCGAUUUCGUAUUUUUUGACUUUUAUUAUUUCAAACACUUUUUAAGUGCCACUAGAUUUUUUUUUUUUUUUUAAUGCUAUUUUCAAGGUUUUGAGUAUUUACAUUUCAAAAAGCCAAACUCAAGCACCUUGUACGAAUCCUGGAAGAAUGAUUCAACAUCACACACACACACCCCCACACACAAAUCCAAACACACACAGCAUCUCCAAGGCCAUGAUGGACCGAUCCAAUCCAGCCUAAUGUGGGGGGAAGGGGGCUCUGUUGGAGCUCCUUUGCUGGAGAAGCGAGGUUAAAAUCCAUUCCACAUCCAGACAGGCUCAGCGAGAAAGCUUAUUGAUCACUACCGCUAAUCGUCUCCAGACGUGUUAGAGACAUCAGCGAAGUGCAUACAAACUGCACCGUAGUCACAAAGCAAGAAGCGCAAAUCCUCUUCUGCUUGCUCCAAAUGCAGUCGAGAAGCCAAGAGAUAAGCGAGAAUGGAAAUCCUCAAGUAUUUCCUUUAAAAAGAGAUUCUCGGAUGCCAAGAUGGCCGCCCUCAUUUACAGCUUCCAGCUAUGGAACGUCCUGAAGCUUUCUGCGCGUUUACAGACGAUCCAUGGUAGUUUUAUGUAAGCUUACCAAACGAACGUGGGUAGGUUUUCUUUACUUGACUUUCUUUUAAAGAAAUAAUCUAAAUUAUAUAAAAAUUAAAUAAUAUAUAAUAAAUUAUUAAAACCCUGCACACACACCUCUUAUCUGAUGACUUCAUACAAUAUUAAAACAAUAGCAUGUGCUGGAUCAGGUGGUAUUUUAUUAUAAAAUUUUCAUUAUUUUAUUAUUGAAUAAUGACAGUGGAAGCCAUUUUGUUCAAUUAAACCACUUUUUUGUUGGAUUCUUGAAUCUGCUCAUUCGUAUCUCUUCACAUUCUCUGUUACACGGCCAUUACAAAGCGGUGCAAAUGUUCACUGAUGCUCAAGAACCCAACACGAUACAUUACAUUAUUCAUUUAUCAUUUAGUCCCACCCUUCAGAAGCUACGCGACAUAUUUACAUGUUUCCCAGACGACAAAAAAAUAACAAUUUACACAUGAUCAUCCUGUUCAAAAGUUUACACCCCCUCGGGCUCUUAAUGCAUCGUGUUACCUUCUCAAGCAUCGAUGAAUGUUUGCACCUUUUGUAAUAGUCGUGAAUGUACGAGAAUGAAGACUGAAAACAAAGCUGGGACACUGACCUGUUACAGCUAGAACAUGUUCUGAAGGUAUUUGUGAGAAUUUAAUCAGGUCUUACCUGUGAUCUUGAGGACAGGCUCGGUGCUUUAGAGAGGGAAAGAAGAAAAAGACAGAAUUAGGUCACUUCGCUGGCAAGUGCGUAGUUAUAAAAUACAGCCAGAUAGACACAACUUCUCAUUUCACCGGGAUGUCGGUCUGCCGCCUCGUGGGGAAACGGGAGUUCUAUAACAGAAGUGAUGUUAAUGAACUCCAGAGGGAGACGAGUGCUGCAGGACUGACUGAUCGCAUGUUCGACAACACUUCUAAACGCGCAGAAAUUGCUCCCUUCCUGUCAGUCUAAUGAAAACAAAAAGCACUCAACAGCAAACUGGACGAUACGAGGACUUUAGACAUACUGCUUUCUAAGGCCGACCUCACGAGAGCAUUGUGGCAGCUUUUAGAAAACUUGGCAGAAAACUUUUCAGAUAUUUUUCAGUCUUUAUUGGUUUAAUGCAUUUGCAUGUACAGACGCAAUUGUGCACUGAUUUUUACAGUGUAGGUACCCUUGAUUUUUUUAUUUUAACAGCUUGACAUUGGUUACGGGAAGUAUUACAUUUCUAAUUCAAUUUCAGCUCUAACAAGUUCAAUAAUAUAUCAAGACUGGUUUAUAAAAUAAACAGAAUUAAGCUCAUCUAACGAUCAUCUAGGGUUGGCGUUGGUAUUGAUAGUGUUGAUGGUACUGGCGGUGUUGGUGUUGGUGGUGAUGAUGGUGUUGACAGUGAUGGCGGUGAUGGCAGUGAUGAUGGUGCUGGCGGUGUUGUCAGUGUUGACAGUGAUAGCGGUGAUAGUGUUGACAUUGCUAGUAUUGGUAGGGUUAGUGAUGUUUGUAAUAUUAGAAAUGCCGCUCGUGUGUGGACAAUGUUCCUAGUGUUAGUGACCAUGUUAUUGUUGGCAAUGUGCCUAGUAUUGGGUGUUGCUAACAUCGGUGAUAUUGCUAGUGUUUGCGAAGUUGCUAAAACAAACAAACUGCAAAAGCUUGAAGAAAUUGGUCCACUUCUCGUUUAAAGACGCGUCUCCUGCGGAGCAGAAAUGGAAAACUCGAAAAGCCCUUACCCCAGUGUAACCAGACAGACCAGUGGAGCUCGACUGGCUUUUUUUUUUUUUUUUUUUUAAAUAAACUGUGCCACUCAGGUCUUGUUGUGAUACAUUUGAGGUGGUCAAUGCAUGAACACAGCAGAAAAGAUUAGAAUGGAUUUUUAACUAAAACCGUUGAUGGGCUUUCGACCCUGGACUCUCACCUUCAUUUACUCUGUGCUAAUUUGAUACGCAAACACUGUUUACUGUUCAGGAAGAGCAUCUUUCUAGGCACAAAGCCGGUGAAGUGGAAGUGUGUGAGACUCAAACUAGUUACAAUGGCAGAAAGUUAGUGAGAGAAACACAUACAGACACAGAGGAGGGGGGAGAGAGAGAGAGUGAGAGAGAGAGAGAGAGAGGGGGGUUAGGGCUUACGAGCACAGGUUGGAAAGCUGUUAUUAAUCUGCUCCAUAAGGUCAGUCAUAUCAGAGGAGGAAGAAUGAUCCAGAAAGUCAUCUGAGAACACACACACACACACACGCACACACACACUAUAUGAAAGAGCUGUCAGGUCCACACACCAACAUUAUUGAACCGUGUUGCUCAUUUCCAGCACAAAAGGUUCUCAAAAGGUUCUGGUCUGAAAUGAAAAAGUGAUGUUCGGUUUUGGGAUGGUGCCAUUUUAUCGCCAUGGCAACAUUAGAAACUCAACCUAUCGUUGUUAAAAUAAGGAGGAAACAAUAUGUGUACAGAGGCGGAUGAGAAUUAUUGUAAAAGUUUGUUUUGUUUUUUUUUAAAUUCAGUGAAACCUUACGAAAUCCAAUUUCAUAAUGGUUAAGAUCUCAAAGCGGUGGAAAUGUGGGACAUUUUCUUUUUUUCUUAAAACCAUCACAUGUUGGAAGUAAAGCAGGAGCAGCACCAUGUUGAUGGGAAGAAGAAGAAGAAAAAAAAAAUCUUGCACUCAACCAAACACACGUAAACAGAUCAAGUGUAGAGUGGGAGAUGCAUUCUGAGGAACCUAAAUGUGUGUGCAUUUUUUAAAAAUUUACCUGUGAGUUCUGCAUGGCCUCUUGCCUCCUGACUCAGAGAACCCGAAGAGGAACCGCCGUUGACUGAAGAAUCCAGCUCGG